AUGGCUCAGGACGAACGCGGGCGGCGUGCUUAACACAUGCAAGUCGAACGAGGUCCAUGCAGUAGCAAUACUGCGGAAGACCUAGUGGCGAACGGGUGCGUAACACGUGAGGAACUUGUCCCGGUCUCUGGGAUAACAGUUGGAAACGACUGCUAAUACCGGAUGACGUCGGAGCAUCGCAUGGUGCGCUGACGAAAGGGUUACCGGAUCGGGAGAGCCUCGCGGCCUAUCAGCUUGUUGGUGGGGUAAUGGCCUACCAAGGCAUCGACGGGUAGCUGGUCUGAGAGGAUGAUCAGCCACACUGGGACUGAGACACGGCCCAGACUCCUACGGGAGGCAGCAGUGGGGAAUCUUGCGCAAUGGGCGAAAGCCUGACGCAGCAACGCCGCGUGCGGGAAGAAGGCUCUCGGGUUGUAAACCGCUUUCAGAAGGAACGAAACUGACGGUACUUUCAGAAGAAGGUGCGGCCAACUACGUGCCAGCAGCCGCGGUGAUACGUAGGCACCAAGCGUUGUCCGGAUUUAUUGGGCGUAAAGAGCUCGUAGGCGGUUCAGUAAGUCGGAUGUGAAAACUUUGGGCUCAACCCAAAGCCUGCAUCUGAUACUGCUGUGACUUGAGUUCGAUAGGGGAGCAGGGAAUUCCUAGUGUAGCGGUGAAAUGCGCAGAUAUUAGGAGGAACACCGGUGGCGAAGGCGCUGCUCUGGGCCGAUACUGACGCUGAGGAGCGAAAGCGUGGGUAGCAAACAGGAUUAGAUACCCUGGUAGUCCACGCCGUAAACGUUGGGCACUAGGUGUGGGUCUCAACCAACGAGAUCCGCGCCGUCGCUAACGCAUUAAGUGCCCCGCCUGGGGAGUACGGCCCGCAGGGUAAAACUCAAAU
rnacentral:rRNA from 1 species